rnacentral:piRNA from 1 species
ACAUGGCUCGCACCAAGCAGACGGCCCGC